AACGAACGCUGGCGGCAGGCUUAACACAUGCAAGUCGAGCGCCCCGCAAGGGGAGCGGCAGACGGGUGAGUAACGCGUGGGAACGUACCCUUUACUACGGAAUAACGCAGGGAAACUUGUGCUAAUACCGUAUGUGCCCUUCGGGGGAAAGAUUUAUCGGUAAGGGAUCGGCCCGCGUUGGAUUAGCUAGUUGGUGGGGUAAAGGCCUACCAAGGCGACGAUCCAUAGCUGGUCUGAGAGGAUGAUCAGCCACAUUGGGACUGAGACACGGCCCAAACUCCUACGGGAGGCAGCAGUGGGGAAUAUUGGACAAUGGGCGCAAGCCUGAUCCAGCCAUGCCGCGUGAGUGAUGAAGGCCCUAGGGUUGUAAAGCUCUUUCACCGGAGAAGAUAAUGACGGUAUCCGGAGAAGAAGCCCCGGCUAACUUCGUGCCAGCCGCCGCCGUAACAC
rnacentral:rRNA from 1 species